rnacentral:tRNA from 1 species
UUCCUGGAGGACUAGUGGUUAGGCCUCAGCGCUCUCACCGCCAUGGCCCGGGUUCGACUCCCAGCCAGGGAA